rnacentral:rRNA from 1 species
AUUGAACGCUGGCGGCAGGCUUAACACAUGCAAGUCGAACGAGUGGCGGACGGGUGAGGAAUGUCUGGGAAACUGCCUGAUGGAGGGGGAUAACUACUGGAAAAGGUAGCUAAUACCGCAUACCAUCAGAUGUGCCCAGAUGGGAUUAGCUUGUUGGUGGGGUAACGGCUCAACAAGGCGACGAUCCCUAGCUGGUCUGAGCGGAUGACCAGUCACACUGGAACUGAGAUACGGUCCAGACUCCGACGUGAGGCAGCAGUGGGUAAUAUUGCACAAUGGGCGCAAGUCUGAUGCAGCCAUGCCGCGUGUAUGACGAAGGCCUUCGGGUUGUAAAGUACUUUCAGCGGGGAGGCGUUACCCGCAGAAGAAGCACCAGCUAACUCCGUGCCAGCAGCCGCGGUAAUAC